GCCCCCCCCCUCUUUCACACACACACAGACACACAGCCUCCUAGAUGUGUGCCUUGCGGUGUGUCUGCGUCUAGAAGAUCCUCCUCCAAUCGCUCGGCUGGCAGGAAAGCCUGCCUUACCCUCGGAGCAGUCAAUUACCCAAACUACCCGAGAUCAUCAAUCACAGCGAAGGCUUGAAGUUUCGGGGAGGGGCAAUGGUCAAACUAUUGAUUGCUCCAGUUUGGGGCUCUUGCCUUCCCUCCUUUCCCUCCCCCCCUCUCUCCCUCCCUCCCUCUCUUUCCCCAUCAACCCUAACCAGACACCCCUCUUAACCGUGGGAUUGAUCAAUGAUCCCGUAUCGCCUUGAAACCCUAGCCUCGCACAUACUGGCCUUGAAAACCUCACCACCCCCCAGCAUUCUCUCCCAACAGCAAAAAAAAAGUGGACUCUGGAGGCAGAGAGAGAGAGAAUGGGAAUGAGAGAAGAAGACCUACAAAGGAGAUUCUGUUCUGGGGGGGGUUUGGAGAGGCAAAAGAUCACCAAAGUGGGGUGGCUAUCGGGCUGGAUGUAAUCGAAAUCUGGCCCCCUUUUCUUCCCCCCCCCCUCAGUUGGGCCAAGGGGAAUGUGCUCCCGAGGUCAAUAAAGCCCUCCGAAAAAAAAAGAUGAAUGAUGGAGUACCUGAGAUGAUGAUAGUGAUUACCGGAGCAAUUAAAGCGUUUGAUUAAAUGAGCCAUCAUAAGCGGGAUGUCUGCGGGAAAUCGGCCCUCAAAUAUAUAAAGAAAGAUAGGGAGGAGAGAAAAGAGAGAGAGAGAGAGAAGGAAAGAAGGAAGGAAGGAAGGAAAGGGGAGAGGCUGAUAAACCCAGAUCGCGCAGCCUAGGAAGCGGCGGCGGAGGGUGGAAGGCAGAAAAGUCCCCGUCCGGACUAGAAAGCAGUUUCCCGAUCCGGCUUGAAACCCCCCAUAAACCCCCAAAGCCCCACUCAAUGUGCUGCUUUUUCUUUUCUUCCCCCGCCUUCCCUGCCCCCCUUUCCUUUCCCCUCCAGAGCACCUCUUCCAAGAUUAAAGCCCUUUCUUGAAGAGCAAGACUCUGUGGGACUACUAGGCAGAGUAAAAGACAGCCAACACAAGCCGCCUUCGGAGAGGCAUCUUAAACUUCUGGGCUAGGAAGAGUCUACCUCUGCAAAGUGUAUGUGGAUCAGGAGGAAAUGGGCUCCAUAGCUUACGUCCGAUUCUCAAAAGGACCUGAGACUGCCAAAAGGUUAAGAACCGCUGAUGUGAUAAGUACACAUUAAUAAUUAUAAAUUAUGAUCGUUAUGGUCGUGUGUGUGUGUGUGUGUGUGUGUGUGCAGUGCAUGUUCAUAUAUAUGAUCAUGUGUGUUCUUAUGUAUGUGUCUGUGUCCACACAUAUACACAUGGAUAGUGUCCAUACAUAUUUGUGCACAUACGUGACCACACAGAGAUAGGUAUAUGAUAUGAUUUUAUCUCUCUCCGUUUGUGAAUGUACAUAUAUGUAAACAUACAUGAUCAUAUCUAUGUGCAUGUAUGUUCACACGCACACCUAAUUAUGUAUGUUCAUACACACACACACACACACAUUCACACACACACACAGAGAAAAUACUAUUAAAAUAAUUUAUAUUUAUAUCCGUGGGAGCCAGCGUUGUGUCUUGGUGUCUAGUGUUCAAAUCUCGGCUCAGCCCUGGAAAGUCUGGCCAGGUCACAUUCUCUCAGCCUCAGAGGAAGGCAAAGGCAAAUAAAAUAAAACAUUGCCAAGAAAAACCGUGAAAGCUUCGCUUUGGGUUCACUUUAAGUCGGAAACGACAUGAAGGCACACAACAACAAGAACAACAACAUUAUUAAUAUUUAAUUUCGCCCUCUAUGCAGACAUUUCAGGGUGCACAAUAUGUAUACACAUUGUAUAUGUCUACACACACACACACAUACACACACACACACACACACACAGAGCCUACAAGUCGCCGAAGAACUUAUGGCGACCCUACAAAUUUGAUCGGGAUUUCAGAGGUGGUUUUGUCAAGUUUCCUUCCUCUGAAAGAGACAUCACAUCACCUAGGCAUUCUUUGGCGGUCUCCAUAUAAACCACAUUAUUAUAGGAUCACGUAGGACAUAUAGGGGUGUGUGUCUGAUUCCCUCCCCCCAAAUAUAAUAGGAUUCUAGCCUUGGGAACGAAAAAAAUCCCCCUUUUCCUGAGUGUAAAUGAACAAGGAAAGCGUGGAGGGUCUGGUGUGGUCAAAAUAACCCGGUUGGACCCGCUUGAACAGCCAGGGCUCCAGGCUAUGGAAUUCUGGGAAGUAUAGUUUGUUGUGGCACCAGGGAAAUCCCAGAAUUCCACCGCCUGGAGCCCUGGCCGUUCAAGCGGGGUCCAACUGGGUUAUUCCUGCCGUGAGGAUGCAGCCUGGAUAGGGAAAGCCUGGUUCCUCUUCCUCGAAAGCCAGCGCCUCCCCCCCUCCUUCGCUAAGCAUUUACCAACAAUUAUGCCUCCAUCAGCAGGAACCCUGGGUCCCAAACGAUGCUAUUAAACAUCAAAGGCAGUCUUCAGACUUGUACCUUUUAGCCAGAAGAGGAUUAAUGUCUCUAAUUGGAGGGGAAUAAAUAUGGGCAUAAAUAAAUCUCCCCCCCCCCCCAAUUCCUUAAUCUCAGGGAGUCUUAUCGAGGAGGAAAGAAAAAAUUAGGAAGAGGCUGAUGCCUUCAGAAAAAAAAAGCACCCCAAACUUUCCCUUGUCUCAUUGGCAUCUUUCAUUCAGAAUUUAGGGAGCCCAGAAUACCCUCUCAUCCCCCCCAAAAAAGAGCCAAUCCAGAGGAUCACAGCCUUCCAUCCCACCAAAAAAGCCCCCCAUGAUCCGAAGUCAAUGCAUCAGUGGAAAUGAUAUAGAAGGCAUUCACUCCAAGAUGCGGGAAAGGUUUGUCUAUUUCUUCGUUGAGCUUCGGGGUCCGAGGCCCCUUCUCUCCCCUCCUCUGCCAAAGAUCAAGGCUGAGUGGGAUCCUCUCCCCUCCCUCCCCCCACAAUAAAAACCCGCCCGACCUUGAUUCUAACCUGUAUGAAUACCUCAUUUACCUAAUGACUUUGUGUCACGCCUGGCAGGGAGGUCACUUUCCCUUUUUAACCUUUCCCCAGCGCUGCGAGUCAGCAUUCUGGGCUAAUCGAUGCCUCCUGGAAUAAUCGAUGCCCAUUUUUAGGAACCCCCCCCCCCUUUCCCCUUCCCUUGCAAAGGAGAAGCCGCUGAUGACUCGCCUGGGGACCCGAGUUGCCAGUGUGUACGUGUGUGUAUAUACACUUCCCUUGUGGACUUUGUCGCUGUGUGCCUUCAAGUCCUUUCUGACCUGUGGCGACCCUAAAGCCCACCCAUCCUGGGGGGUUCCUUGGCAAAACUGGUCGCCUUGGCCUCCUUCUAAGGCGGAGAGUGUGUGGCCCCUCGAAUAUUUGAACCCUGGUCUCCAGAAACCCCAGCAUUAUAGUCCAAACCACCACUAAGCCAUACUGUCUCUACCAGAAGCAGGGACACCAUUAUCUGAACUUCGGAGUUACAGUCCAAUGCUCAAACCACCAGGUCACACUCUCUGUACCAGAGACAGGUAUAUCGUUACCUGAACACCUAUGAAUCCAUGAUUCCCAGCAUAACCCACACGUUGUGGUUCUCAACGGUAGGCUGCAUCCACAUUGGAGAAAUAACCCAUUUUGAGCCCGCUUUCACUGCCAUGGCUCAACGCUAUGGAAUUCUGGGCAUGGUCGUAGGUUGUGGCACCAGAAUUCCAUAGCAUUGAGCCAUGGCAGUGAAAGCGGGCUCGAAACGGGUUAUUUGUCCAGUGUGUAUGCCAUUGCUGCCCGAUAGAUCCUCUGGCUUCCUUUGCUGAGACCUGGUUCCCUUUCUUUCUAGGAACAGGAGCCUCCAAGCCCUCACCUCCGUCGGGCAAGGCUUGAUCUCCCUCCCCUAUCAACGCACACCUCCCUUCUUUGCUUAGCGAUCAAAGGACAAAGUCUCCCUCCUCUCCUGCCAGGCAAAGGUGCUUUCCUGCUUCUGACUCCUGGAUUGUGGCCUGAGAUAAAAAAACCUGGAGAUUGCUAAAUCGAGGGUUCCCCCCCCCCCCAAUAAGGGGAUAAGGAGGGGAUUUAAAAAUCUGCCCUACUCAGUUGUUUCCAGCCAAGAAGGUCCUAUAACUGCAGCAGGGGGAAAAAAAGAAAAGGGGGAGGGAGAAGAAAAGACCCCCCCUCCCUCCACCGACACACUUACUAUUGCAAACAAAACAAGCCAACAGCUCUGAGGAAUGAAUGUCUGGGAGCUCUCACGUUUGCUGCUAUCUGCUGGUGUUAGUCAGAACUGAGAAUCGUUGCAACCCUGUUACCUCUGUGGGAUAAUUAAUACAGAUUCGGGACUUCUUUUCCCCCCCACUACCUAUAAGCAUAUGUUUCAUUUUCCUCUGCAGUUAAGUUAUUCACUGCUUCUGCUGUCUCUCCUCCCCUCUUCUCCCCCCUCCCCAAUAUCUGAUUCUCCUGCAAAGUUUCAGCCUGAUAUUUGCCUUGGCACAGAGUCAUCAGGGAAGAGCAGGGCAAGGAUGCCAGCUUGGUUGGAGGUAGAAAAAAAACCCUUUCAAAUGCUUGAAGGGAAACACACUGGAGGGAGGAAUUAAGUCAGUCCUUAUGCCAAUGCUAAGGUCUGGGAUGAUCUUGUGGGGUCCUGCUGCCUGGGAAAUGGGAUGGCACCCCUCCUGUGUUUGUAUGUCUGUCUCUUUUGCAAACGCAUUUGAUCGGAAACAGGUUGCAUUUAUUUCAGUGGAACUUAUCCCUGCAUUAUGUGUGGAAUGGGAGGCAGUUUAACACACCCUUCCUGAAGUUCCCUUCUUCUGAAUGCCUUUAAAUCACAAUUGGUUCCAUUUGGUACAUUUAUAUACACACAUUCAUUUCUCUGUGAUCCUGGACAUAGUCAUCUGGCUCAUAUCCCAUUGACUCCAGUGAAGUGUGAAUCCAUGAUUCCCAGCAUAACCCACACGAAUCACUAAGCAAAUAAGGGAAAUAAUAAUAAUAAUAAUAAUAAUAAUAAUAAUAAUAAUAAUAAUAAUAAUUUCUUACCCACCCCUCCCCACAGAUUGGGGAGGGAACAACAAUGAACAGACAAACACUAAUUAAAAGACAUUGGUUAGAAACACAUCAGUUAAAAGAACAAACAAGAUGUACACAUAUUAAAACAAUUUACAGGCUGCAGCCAUAUAUGAAUUUCAGAUCAUGCUGUUUGGAGUGGCAAAGGAAAGAAUAUGAAUCCUUGCAAAAGAACAUAAGAAGAGAAAUGUGUAUAGAGGCACAGCUGGCAUGCUUAAUGAGACUCUCCCAUGUUCCUUAGACCAGUGGCAAUGUGGCAUGCUCUUAUUCGAGAACUAGCCUCGGAGGAAAUGUGACACAUAACCCAGCACUUUUUCUGACUCAGCACUUAGUGCUGUGUAAACUCUGUCUAAUGACUUCUGGAUGGAAGGAUUAUGCCCUCCGAUAAAAGAGGUGCAGCCAUGGGUGUCUGUUGUGUGUGGGGGUGGUAAAAGGUAAAAGGUAGAAUAAUAUCGCCAAACAGAACAUCACAAGUAGCUAAACGGAAAGAACAUUUCCACAUUGUUAACAUCAUCUGGGAACAUACACACUCUGCAUAGUAAACUCUGGAAACAAUGAACUCCUUGGUAAACUAGAUUUGGAUUAUGAUGAUUAAACAUUUAUGCGGAGCAUUUCAGUGUGCAGUUGGCUUUCAUUCUUUACUGCCUGCAUCCCUAUAAAAUCCUGUCUAGUCAGAUGCUGCAAUUCUCAUUGUACAGAAAGAGAGAUUUAAAACUGUGACUUGGCCAGAGCCAUGUGGUGAAUCCUUGGCAGAAGUGGAACAUUGGGCAAGAAUCUUGUAGUUAUACUACACCAAGGCAACAAUACCAGCCUAGGGAAUGGUGGCAGUACAUCAACUAUGAAAGAAGUGAGGUACUGGGGAAAACAGGUUGCUCAGAUAGGGCAGACUUUGUCUGCCUUCUCUCACCGCCAUGGAAAAAGUCCAUCUAAUAGAAUAGGGUUACAACAGGAUUCUGGCCCAAAUGUCCAAGUCCAACAGUUGAUCUGUUAGCCAAUUCAUAUAUAUGGAUCCCAUUCAUGAUGGAUUCUGAAGAUACCUUGCCUGAAGGUGGAUGGUACCCCUGCAUUCAUACAACGCUCUGCAUCUCAUACAUGCCUACUCCAAAUUGAAUGCCAAGGAGUUUCAAUGAGACAUGUGUGCAUCAUAAUAUUUUUGAUUGUAGCUCUGAACAUAACCUGAGUGGAGCAGAGAACUAUAUAAAAACAAUGCAGGAAAAAAAUCUUUGAAAAGUGUUUGUCCUAUGCUCUCACCUUGAGGGUGUUUCGCAACCGUAAGACAACAUAUCUAAGGAUGUGUCAUACUGGAUAAUACUGUUCCUUGGGUGGUAAGGUCACUUGGCACUAACCUUUGCUUUACAGCUGCUGAGCUGUGCAGUUUAGCAGCUGGAUUUUGGAUACAUUGUAAAAUUAACGUAACACAUAAACAGAACAAUAUUCAUACAUUUUAACAAAUAAGUACACAUUUUAUUACUCUUACACACUUGCAAAGCCUCAAAAGCAGGUAAGAAAGAAGGAAUUUGGAAAGAUUGGUUUAGUGAAAGCCAAAUUUAUUUUUAAGUCUUCUUGAUUCAAAGGGGAGAUUUAAAGCAUGUGACUAAAUGGGAUUUUAAAAAGACUAUCUAUCUAUGAAUUACAGUUCAUACACUAUGCUUUUCCAUUAGACAUCAGUUUGAUUCACAAAUAUCUGGGACAGGUUGUACAGUACACUUUUGAUUUCCCUUUUCACAGGGGAAAAGAAAACAUAGGCAUAAGUAAUUGAAAUCAGAAGGAGUUAAAAUACUUACGUUUGACAUUUGGUUAUUUUUAGGUUUUUUUUAUUACCAUAGUACAGUCAGUCCUCCAGAUACAUGGAUUUCACAGCCCACCGCUUGAAAAUAUUUUUUAAAAUUCAAAAGGUUUUGAAUUUUUGGAAGACAAGAAACUUCUUCAUAUCUAGAAGCAUGGCUGCUAUUCUUCAUGAUGUGGCAUAUCACGUACAUCUAUUAUUGUGUCUAAGCAUUGCAGAAAGGAGUCUGACUUCAACACAGGGAAUUUUGUAUAUACUAUAUCCACAAGGAACAUAAAUAAUUAUGCCAAAAUAAACUUCCAAGUAAUAUGUACACAUUUUAGAGCCCUUCCUUCAUUCCUUCUUCAGAUCUGAGGCAAAAGAUGUGUCUUCUGUAAGUUGCUGGGCUAAAACUCCUAUCAUUGGACCUGAAACUUUCAUGAUGUCUAGAUGUCCAUAGGCCCUUCACUCCUGUUUUAGAUUCCUGACCACAACAUUCAAAGUAUUGCUCUCUGGCCCUAAUACAUAUUUUGUGUUGGUAAGUAGAUGCUGAAAUAGACCAAACAGUUACUCGGAGCAGAAACACCCACUCCAGAUGAUUGGACUGCAUCCAGGCCUAAGUCUAAGGCACUAUCCACAUCUGCAGCAGAAUGAAGUAACGAAAUCCAGAAAUGGAGAUUGUACCAAUUCAGAAUGCAAGUGAAGAAUACAAUUUGGGCACGUUUCCCUUUUGUUGUUAUCUUUAAACAACUCCCUGCGGGGAAAGGAGAAAAGAAGUUGGUGCAUUAGGAGAAAUAAAAAGCUCUUAGCAUAGAAAGGUCCUAACCUAGCCAAUUCCCUACUGUACUGGUAGCAGGGACAAAUGUAGGCCAUCAUUCAAAAUUUCCUUCUCCACUUGCAUUCCGAAAUGAUACCAUCUAUUUUGUCAUCUCUCAUUCUCUGUCUCAUUCUGUGGCAUGUGAGGAUGGAAUGAGGUGAUUGACUAGAGUAGGAGAAUUCUGAACUGUACCUUUUUAUGGCACGCGUGCACAUGCCAUGUUUUUGAUCCUUCCCUUGUGUAAAAAGCAUCCUGGACAUAAUAAAGUACUUCAGCCAUCAA